UUACGGCCACAUCACGUUGAAACACCGCUUCCCGCAUGCUCAUAGAAGUUAAGCAACCUUGAGUCCGGUCAGCACUAGAUGGAUGACCGUUUGGGAAUACCAGGGGUUGUAAU